GGGAGAUAACUAGAUUCUCUGACAGAGCAGUUAGUUACAGAGGAUGAUUUUCUUGAGGAUGCUAACAAAAUCACCUGCCAUGGAAUCUGGUGCUGGAGACAUAUUUCACACAAACAGGUCAUGCCCUACCCCCACCCUCACCAGAGCGCAGAUCAAAAGGGCCCAGCUUACAGUAGUGAAGAUGAUGGCUGAAACUCUUUUCCAACUGCAGAAAGACAGGAGGGUCACUGCAGUGCAUAAGAAUAAACAGCUACUCAAAGUUGGCAUGUGUUCUUCACCCAGAGGGAAAAAACAUCAGCAGGCUUACGGCCACAGAGCAAAUGGGUAUGGAUUUGUACCAAGAGGAAAGAAUGUGAACUGAGGAUGCUGAAGAGUGCAACAAUUUGUCCUGCCGUGCUAACAACCAGUGGUCUUUGUAAGCGGAGACAGGCACAGCAGCUUUUUCACUGUUGGCAAGCUGUGGACCACCACCCCAGCUACUCUCCUUACUCUCGCUGAGGAAAGGCAGCAAAUAGCCAAAUGGUGGCAGCAUGAUAAAUUGCUUUAGUUGUUCACCCAGCGAGAGCAGAGUCCUGGGCACCAGAGG